CUGGCUCAGAUUGAACGCUGGCGGCAGGCCUAACACAUGCAAGUCGAGCGGCAGCGGGAAGAGCUUGCUUUCNGCCCGACGAGCGCGGACGGGUGAGUAAUGUCUGGGAAACUGCCUGAUGGAGGGGGAUAACCACUGGAAACGGUGGCUAAUACCGCAUAACGUCGCAAGACCAAAGUGGGGGACCUUCGGGCCUCAUGCCAUCAGAUGUGCCCAGAUGGGAUUAGCUUGUAGGUGGGGUAACGGCUCACCUAGGCGACGAUCCCUAGCUGGUCUGAGAGGAUGACCAGCCACACUGGAACUGAGACACGGUCCAGACUCCUACGGGAGGCAGCAGUGGGGAAUAUUGCACAAUGGGCGCAAGCCUGAUGCAGCCAUGCCGCGUGUAUGAAGAAGGCCUUCGGGUUGUAAAGUACUUUCAGUGGGGAGGAAAGCGUGAUGUUUCAAUACGCAUCGCGAUUGACGUUACCCACAGAAGAAGCACCGGCUAACUCCGUGCCAGCAGCCGCGGUAAUACGGAGGGUGCAAGCGUUAAUCGGAAUUACUGGGCGUAAAGCGCACGCAGGCGGUGUGUUAAGUCAGAUGUGAAAUCCCCGGGCUCAACCCGGGAACUGCAUUUGAAACUGGUCAGCUUGAGUCUCGUAGAGGGGGGUAGAAUUCCAGGUGUAGCGGUGAUAUGCGUAGAGAUCUGGAGGAAUACCGGUGGCGAAGGCGGCCCCCUGGACGAAGACUGACGCUCAGGUGCGAAAGCGUGGGGAGCAAACAGGAUUAGAUACCCUGGUAGUCCACGCCGUAACGAUGUCGACUUGGAGGUUGUGCCCUUGAGGCGUGGCUUCCGGAGCUAACGCGUUAAGUCGACCGCCUGGGGAGUACGGCCGCAAGGUUAAAACUCAAAUGAAUUGACGGGGGCCCGCACAAGCGGUGGAGCAUGUGGUUUAAUUCGAUGCAACGCGAAGAACCUUACCUGGCCUUGACAUCCAGAGAACUUNCCAGAGAUGGAUUGGUGCUUCGGGAACUCUGAGACAGGUGCUGCAUGGCUGUCGUCAGCUCGUGUUGUGAAAUGUUGGGUUAAGUCCCGCAACGAGCGCAACCCUUAUCCUUNGUUGCCAGCGGUUCGGCCGGGAACUCAAAGGAGACUGCCGGUGAUAAACCGGAGGAAGGUGGGGAUGACGUCAAGUCAUCAUGGCCCUACGGCCAGGGCUACACACGUGCUACAAUGCGCAUACAAAGAGAAGCGACCUCGCGAGAGCAAGCGGACCUCAUAAAGUGCGUCGUAGUCCGGAUUGGAGUCUGCAACUCGACUCCAUUAAGUCGGAA
rnacentral:rRNA from 1 species